rnacentral:ncRNA from 1 species
UCUAACGGUAAACUAUGCCAACCAGCGAUUCGCCGAAGUUCAUUUAAGACUCGGCGAGCAGCUUCCGGGAAACCAAAGUGUUUCGGUUCCGGGGGAAGUAUGGUUGCAAAGCUGAAACUUAUAGGAAUUGACGGAAGGGCACCACCAGGAGUGGAGCCUGCGGCUUAAUUUGACUCAACACGGGAAAACUCACCCGGCCCGGACACUGGAAGGAUUGACAGAUUGACAGCUCUUUCUUGAUUCAGUGGGUAGUGGUGCAUGGCCGUUCUUAGUUGGUGGAGCGAUUUGUCUGGUUAAUUCCGAUAACGAACGAGACUCUACCCUAUUACAUAUGGACAGUAUUGUAUUUUUUGUGCUGAUCAAUUCGUAGACCGACUGGCUGUAUGCAAUCUGCUCUAUCCGCAUCAAUUACAGUUCUGUGCUUUACUUUAUCCACUUACUUUACUCUACGUUUUAUUGAAUCACACACCAUACUGUACUUCCUGACCUUAAAACUUUUUUG